rnacentral:lncRNA from 1 species
AUGGCUCAAGAGUGUGGGAACUACAAAAUCCAGCCUGGGAAGGUGGUUGUGUUCAUCAAGCCCACCUUCCCAUUCUGCAGGAGGACCCAAGAGAUCCUCAGUCAACUGCCCAUCAAACAAGGGCUUCUGGAAUUUGUCGAGAUCACAACCACCAACCACACUAACAAGAUUCAAGAUUAUUUGGAACAGCUCACGGGAGCAAGAAUGGGGCCUUGAGUCUUUAUCAGUAAAGAUUGUAUAGGCAGAUGCAGUGAUCUAGUCACUAUGCAAUAGAGUGGGGAACUGCUGACGCGGCUAAAGCAGAUUGGAGUUUUGCAGUAA